UUAACGACACACACAAACAUAGCCUACUAGUAUAUACGUACAUGGGAGACUGAGAAAUUCUGUGCUUAUUGGAAAAAGAUUUUAAAAAAAACACCAAACUUUAAGGUAUGCUAUGACUAAGCUUUAAAUAUAAGGUAGAUAGGGAGUAGGAAACACACAUAUUUCUUUUUUAUUUGGCCUUAAUGAAGAAGAAAACCACACAC
rnacentral:lncRNA from 1 species